UGUGUUGCGCCAGAAGAAUGGAUUACAUUGAUGUUGUAAAAUAAGGGUUAUACCUCAACACAU
rnacentral:tRNA from 1 species